UGGGGAAUAUUGGACAAUGGGGGCAACCCUGAUCCAGCAAUGCCGCGUGUGUGAAGAAGGCCUGAGGGUUGUAAAGCACUUUCAGUGGGGAGGAGGAUUGAUUGGUUAAGAGCUGAUUAAUUGGACGUUACCCACAGAAGAAGCACCGGCUAACUCCGUGCCAGCAGCCGCGGUAAUACGGAGGGUGCAAGCGUUAAUCGGAAUUACUGGGCGUAAAGGGUUCGUAGGUGGUUGAUUAAGUUAUCUGUGAAAGCCCUGGGCUCAACCUGGGAAGGUCAGAUAAUACUGGUGAACUCGAGUAUGGGAGAGGGUAGUGGAAUUUCCGGUGUAGCGGUGAAAUGCGUAGAGAUCGGAAGGAACACCAGUGGCGAAGGCGGCUACCUGGCCCAAUACUGACACUGAGGAACGAAAGCGUGGGGAGCAAACAG
rnacentral:rRNA from 1 species